AAGUUUCUGGCCGUGUUCCAGAAGUGGAAGCUUAUAUUGAGUGAAUUCACCUUACAAACAUCAAAAUUCUAGUGGUUUGAAAGGAGCUGAUUAUUCACGAAAGUAAAAUGCUUAAACUACGAUACGAUCCGUCAUAUGGCAGCCGCUACCAAUAUCUUCCAGUACCUUCUUCCAAAUUCUACUGGGAUUACAAUACUUAUGACCCUCUUGACCUAUACGAGCCUACAAGAUAUCGGCUCUGGUAUCCCCAUUAUUGGCCUUCCCAUUUACUGGACUAUGUCCCCACCAGAUAUUCUCUAAGACAGUUGAGAUUGAGAAAUCACCUUUACAGCUUGUGAUCAACUGUUGUGGUGUUCAUUGGAAGAUAUAAAAGAUAUUUUGAUUGAUUAUUGUUCCUGCCUUCAUCGAUACUGUUUAUGAAUGUGAUAAAGUUGAGAUAAUAAAUAUUAUUUUUCGACAAAAUAA